GUGAGGAAUAUUGGUCAAUGGGCGGAAGCCUGAACCAGCCAUCCCGCGUGCAGGAAGACGGCCCUAUGGGUUGUAAACUGCUUUUCCAGGGGGCGAAACUUUCCGAUGUAUCGGGAUUUGACGGUACCCUGGGAAUAAGCAUCGGCUAACUCCGUGCCAGCAGCCGCGGUAAUACGGAGGAUGCGAGCGUUAUCCGGAUUUAUUGGGUUUAAAGGGUGCGUAGGCGGAUCGAUAAGUCAGUGGUGAAACCCUGCAGCUUAACUGUAGACUUGCCGUUGAUACUGUUGGUCUUGAGUGUGGUCAAGGUAGGCGGAAUGUGUAAUGUAGCGGUGAAAUGCUUAGAUAUUACACAGAACACCGAUUGCGAAGGCAGCUUACUGGGCCAUUACUGACGCUGAUGCACGAAAGCGUGGGGAUCGAACAGGAUUAGAUACCCUUGUAGUCC
rnacentral:rRNA from 1 species